CGGGGUGUUCAAUGAUAGUGCUUGAUAUGUUGAUCAAGUAUGGGGGAAAAGAAAGGGUGCUUUUGCUGUAUAUUUGGAGCCAUGGCAUGCUGACAUUUUUUAGUUUAUGGAUCUUAGGAAGAACCAUGGGAAGGAAGAGCACCGGGCUCGUGAUCUAUUUUAUGCCCUUUAGGUGCCUGAUUUUUUUAUGCAAAGAGUUGAGAGUAAUGGACAAUGGUCAUUAUUCUAUCCUAAUGAGG